rnacentral:rRNA from 1 species
UACGUAGGGUGCGAGCGUUAAUCGGAAUUACUGGGCGUAAAGCGUGCGCAGGCGGUUCGUUAAGGCAGAUGUGAAAUCCCCGGGCUUAACCUGGGAACUGCGUUUGAAACUGGGGAGCUUGAGUGUGGAAGAGGGGGGUGGAAUUCCAGGUGUAGCAGUGAAAUGCGUAGAGAUCUGGAGGAACACCGAUGGCGAAGGCAGCCCCCUGGGCUAACACUGACGCUCAUGCACGAAAGCGUGGGGAGCAAACAGG